UGUUGCUGGUUGAAUUUUGAUGUCUGUUAGAAGCCUAAUACUUUUAAUUAGUGUGAAUUUUAAUACUACUAGUACGGUCUGCAAUAAGAUAAUAACACCAACAGACAGUUUAUUGUGAUCAAAUUAAGCUAUAGAAAAUGAUUGAAUGGAAGGAGUAAGACUAGAAGUUUUUAAUUAUACAAUUCCUGAUUGGAGAUCGGCGUUUCUCAACGGACUGUGAUUGGUCUUACUUGAAAACUUGCAAGACUACAGCUGUGCAGAAUUUGAUCCAAACAGUAAUUUCAUGAAGAUUUGAAGCUGCUGAAUCAAGAUGGGGAAACAAAACAGCAAGUUGAAACCAGAGGUUCUUGAAGACCUUCGACAGAACACCGAAUUUACUGAUACAGAAAUCCAAGAAUGGUAUAAAGGGUUCUUAAAAGACUGUCCUAGUGGAAACCUCUCAAUAGAAGAAUUCAAGAAAAUUUAUGGAAACUUUUUCCCAUAUGGAGAUGCGUCUAAAUUUGCAGAGCACGUAUUUCGCACUUUUGAUGCUAAUGGUGAUGGAACAAUAGAUUUUAGAGAAUUUCUGUGUGCCCUCAGCGUCACAUCUCGAGGAAAGUUGGAACAGAAGCUCAAAUGGGCAUUUAGCAUGUAUGAUCUUGAUGGAAAUGGCUAUAUUUCCCGACAGGAAAUGUUGGAAAUUGUAACGGCCAUUUACAAAAUGGUUGGUUCUGUAAUGAAAAUGCCUGAAGAUGAAUCGACACCCGAGAAACGAACGGAUAAGAUAUUUCGUCAGAUGGAUAAAAACAUGGACGGUAGGUUGUCACUAGAUGAAUUUAUUGAAGGAGCCAGAAGUGACCCAUCAAUAGUGAGGUUGUUGCAGUGUGAUCCUCAGUCAUCACAUUGAUGAGUUAAUAAACAAGACUUAUUCCAGAAAACAAACUGUUACUCCUGAGGCUGCCAGCAGAGGGAGCUUCUCAGAAAAGAGAUCCUGUAAGAAUGUUGGCUAUCUCAUGAUAACUAUGCCAAGUGAUCCCUGACUCUGAAAUUGUUGUAUUUACAAAUUGUAGUUGUUUAAAUUUACACAUUGAUAGAAUAUUUGCUCUUAAACCUUACAUCUUGCUGUCUUAAUUUGUUUGUUCCGUAGUGAUUCUAAAGUUAAUAUUUCGCUGUUUCUGAUAAAAUUUACAUAGAAUUAACAGAUAAGAAAUUCCUUACUCUUUAUGUGAUUAUAAUGAAGAGGUCUUGUUAAUAAUAGCUAAGCUUUCACGAGUUCAGCAAACUUGCUUUCAGUGAAACAGACAUUUUUGAAAAAAAAAAUUGACGUUUUACCUAAAGAAAAGGUGUCAAAUAAAAUUUAUGAAAGCCUUUAAAGCUGAAACCAUUGUGAAGAACAUUUAAAAGGUGAAACUAUGUGCAGGAUUAACAUAUAUGCAAUAUUCUCUUCAAGAUAACAUUUUCUACCAAGAUGUUGAAAGUACCUUAUAUAUUUCUUGAUGUUACUGUAUGUUUCCGCAUUUUGAAUGGCAUCACUUAACAGCUGUCAAUUUCCAGCUUACCUCGUAACUCUGAGGGGAUUAGCUUCUUAUUUGUUAUACACAUUUUAAAAUAUUACGGUAUGUUCAGGAUUAGUUUAAGGGAGUGAAGUUAGCUACCAAAAUUAAAUACUUAUUUAGAGGUGAAAUAGUAUGUGAACUUUACACACAUUUAUCUGAGCCAGCAGAUGUUCAAACUGAUAUUUUGUGGAAUAUGGUAAUUUUCUGUUGCAGAGCCUUGUGAAAUUCUCUGUCACUGUUUUAUUACCAAGAUUCUUUUCAUAAUUCCUGAAAUAUGAUAACUUUAUAAAUAGUUUUAGCUUGGCAGCUGGUAAUUAGACAACGUUUCAGUCCACAUUUGUGACCAUCAUCGAAUCGACGGGCAGGUAUACAAAGGUAGAAUGAAUUAUUGUAAAAUCAACAGGCAGGUUGUCCAUUUGAAUAACUUUCAAAAAUUUACUGCUUGCUAUACUUUUUUUUUAGUAAAGUUUUUUUUUGACUCCUGGAUGUCAACCUUACUCACUGAAGAAACAAGUAUGAUAUUUUUUAAGCUGUUAUUUGUAACUUGACUGUCUUUCCUACAAUUCUUUUGGCAGUAUUAGUGGUAUACAUUCUCAUUAUCUUCUGAAUCAUCUGUGGUCUCGUAGUUCUAUUCAUCUGAUUUUAGUUUACUUUGAAGUGGUAUUUCAUUGUAAGCAUAGUUUUAAGCUUGAUUUCAGUGCUACACUAGACAUUACUUGAGUUGACCAUAUUUAGUAAGUUAAUGCUCUUUAUAAUAUCAAUCCCAAGUUAUGUGGGCAUUUUGUAAGUAUGUCACUAGACACCAAUUACAUUAUUUAGUGAAUGAAGGCUCUUUCUAAUAUCAGUACUGAGUUAUGUGGGCAUUUUGUAAGUACAAGACAAUAUAUAUUGCUUGAGUUUGAUCUUAUUUAGUGAAUAAAUACUCCUUCUAAUAUCAAUCCCAAGUUACGUAGGUAUUUAGUAAUUACUACACCAGAAACUGCUCGAUAAGCUAGGUUCUCAGUUUCUGUUGGGCUAUCUUAUUUUUUUGCAUGGUUUAAUCCAUGUUAAAGUCUGAAAAAGAAGCCACAUCAUAGAUUUUAUUGUGGAAUCUAACAUGAUAAACAAAUACUCAAGAUUAUAAAAAUGUCAUUUUAAAUAAUGACUGCCUAUAAAAUUUAUUACAUAUUUUGCUUGUUGAAACCAUUUAUUGUUUUACCUGUGAAUCUUUCAAUGACUAUAGGUCGUGGAGCUUUCCGAAACAACUCGUGUUUUGUGUCACUUUAAUAACAUACACAUUUUGAAGUAUUUUAUGAAAUUUGUUAAAAAAUGCUACAGUUAAAUGUUUUAUUAUUAUUAUUUUUUAACCACAAUGAAGAAUUUAAAAGAUGUUGCAAUGAACAGGCAAAACUGUGUUCAGUGCACUGGAGUUCCUAAUUGAUAUCUGUUGUGUCAUACUUCUGAGCCACUAUUAAAUUAGUUUUGUUUGUCAUUAAGAAGGUUCAAAUUGCUUGCUUAUUUACAAGUUCAUUAUAAUAAUCUUUUCAUUGGUAGCAGUAUAUGUUAAAUGUCCUGAUGUAGCAGAACAAUGAAAAUGUGAAUAAUGUGUUAAAGUAGAUUAAGUGUUAUCAUUCCAUUAAUACAUGAUAAUAAUGACCAUGUCACAAUAUAUUUGGUCUUAAAUUUAAAACUUUUUGUCAACAAGUCUUAGGGUCUCAAAGAUGGUGAUUUUAAUGUUACAUAGAGUGUAACCGAGCAUCAGUACAAAUUUGAAAGAAUUAAGUAAGAUAAUUAAAAAAAUAAUGGCUUGUUAAAUAAUAUAUUUUAUUAGGUGUGUAUAUUGCUCAUUUCUGAUGGCCCCUAGUAUAAAAUUUCUAACAAGGAAAGAUAUAAAAUUAUACAUACAGAUAAGAGAGCUUUUUUUUUUUACUACCAAAAAAUGUUGUAAAAUAUGUCCUUAAAAUGAUAGAGAGGAAUUUAACUUGGCUUAAAGAUAAUGUAGAUUAAGUUUUUAGAAGAUCUGUAUUAAUAUAUAUAUCUAUUUGGUAAGUUUUCUCCAGCGAAAAAUAUAGGAAAUUUGGUUCAGUUGUCUUUAAUGGUUAUGAAAUUUGAUGUAAAAUAUUUUUAAGGUCCCAAUCUUUUUCGAAGCAGUGCUUGUGGUCCUAGAAAGUUAAGUUGUUUUUGAUAAAAGAACAUAAAUGUUAUAAGAUCAGGUGUAUGAUAUGAUAAUAACUCUUCAGAAAAGGUUCGAUAAUACCACAACUACGAUACCUGUUAGGGCAUUAUUUAAUUGAAUGGAAAAAAUAAGAUUAGCUACGUAGUUUCAACCAGUAGUCACUGUUGUUCCAUAGGUAUGUAUAUGCCUCGGUCCAAAUAUUGAACAAUCAAAUGAAACGUUUAUAUUUCUUGAUACUUUGUACUACUGUGCACAUUUUUAAUCAUACCACAUGGCAUAGUAUGCUACCAGUAUUUAACCCUUCCCUGUAUGGUGGUAUUGCAUAAUUUCAAGUACUUGUGCAUUUGGAUUCAUAAUUCAGAAAUUUAAAUAUAUCUGAAACCCAGACACUUCAAAGAUAAAGCACGAUAAUCACUGAAUGUAUUGUGUGUGAUAGAGUUGUAUAUUAUGCAACAUACACGUAACCAGGAUGAAACCACGCUUUACCCGAGCUUACUAGCAAAAUACAAUAACAGACCUAAUGACACAAUAUACUAGGCCACUUUUUAUUAAAAAAAUAUUUUGCAGGGUUUGUUUGUAAAAUGAAAACAAAAGUGCCAAAGUAAUUACUUUAACAAAAUAAUUUACCUUCACGUGGCAUUAAGAAAAUACAAAAACCUUUUACAAUAUUCCUAGAUUAUUUGAAGGCAAGUAAUCACAAAACACUUCUUAUGUAACAGCUAAAGUUUUAGAAAUCCAUAUACACAGAAUAAAACGAGCUCUAUGCCAAACAGAUUGCAAGAGAAAAAAAAACCAGUUUUAAGGUGAUAUAUUUAUGAUUUUGUUAGUUUAGAAGUUUGGAGGUUACAAAACAAAAACUUAGGUCACUUAAGAAUGUUAUUUUUUGACACCAAUUUCAUAAAUUCACUGUUUUCAAACUAGAAAUAACAAACAAAUGUAUUUGAAGAUAAGUUUACAAUUUUGCUCCUUAAAUAAAUAUUACAAUUGUGGGUGCAUACUUUAUUACAUUUAGCAGUUAGGAUUUUUUUAAAUUAUUCUCCACCCAACAAAUUUUAAUAAAAUACACACAAAACAAACCUUUUAAUCCUCAAUGAUUUGGUUAGUCUUAUUUUGCAAAGACACAAAACUGAUUUUUUUUUAAACUUCGUGAUGUCAUUUGACCUCACGAUAAACACAAGUACCAGGCUGGAAAGAAUUAAGACAUCAAAACUGGUAAUUUUAUUAUUAAAAAAAAAAGAAUAUAUUGAACCGAAGUGUAGUUCAUGAAAAUAAGAAAUCCAUAUUAAUAACAAUGUUGAAGAUCUGGAAAUCAGUUUUAAGUUUAAACAUUUAAAUAUUGCAAUGUCUUUUACUUUUUUUUUUUAGAGAGAAUUAAAUUUGGCAUUUCUAGCAAAAUUUCCACUACAAGUUCUGCCCCCCAGUGGCACAACGGUGUGUCUGUGGACUUACAACGCUAGAAUCCGGGUUUCGAUACCCAUGGUGGGCAGAGCACAGAUAGCCCAUUGUGUAGCUUUGUGCUUAAUUACAAACAAACAAACUACAAGUUCUGUAACACUUUGUUGGCAUAUGUUCUUUCAGACAAUGUCAGCCUAAGUUUUUGAGGUUCAUAGACUUAAAGGAUGUUACAAUCAUAACAGUUGCUUAAAAGUGUGCCUGUUAAAUGAACAAUUCCACAUUAGGAAGAAGGAAAAUAAUAGUAUGGAUUUGUAUAAAAAGUGAUUCAAACAAUAACUACCUCUACAGUCUGUUAACUAGCUGCAUAUUAAAUUUGUUUGCUGAAAUUGUUAAAAGCUAAUAUGUCAAAAAUGUCACUUUAAAAGAGUUAUGAAAAUAAAAACGAAGAUGUAUAUUCAGAAGUGUAAUUAUUUUUUUGUGGUUUAAUUAGUUGUGGAAAAUAUCAAUAUGCUACUACUUAUAGUGGAACAUUUUUGAAUAUAGAAGUGUAGAUGUUAUGAACACCAGUAGUGCCAUCUAGGUACAAUACGAUAAACUUUAAAAUCCACUUUGCUUACACUCGUUUCUCACAUGUAGAAUAUGAACUGGUUACUUAAAGAGAUUUAAGUUUAUGUUUGUCUUGUAUGGCACAUGUUGGCAUUUCUUUGUGCAUGUGUUGUUCUUUCAGUUAUUGUUCAACCACUUAAAAAAGUGAGUAGCAUAAUGAUGAAUGAUAGUGCCUAUAUAAUAUGAUUCAAAAAAUACUGGAAUGAUUAAGUGACAGGAUUGUUAAUUUACUUAAUAAUGUAGCAUAAGUGAAAAUAUGCUGAUCAGCCUUAAUCAAACGUUGAUAACCACAGUUGUCAUACGAAGCUAAGCAUAAUGCAAUCAUGGAGUUUUAUAUAAAAUUUACACUUCUUUCAGUGUGUAGUUAAGUCACAAUUAAGAAACCUAAUAAGCUAAGUACUAUAAGGGUAAGCUUUCGUGUUCUUUAAUUGUGAUUUUUUUUUACCCUCUUGUAUUUUCUAAGUAUCACUAGGAUGUAUCGAUAUAGUUAAAUAACUUGAAAUAUUCAGAUUUUGAGUCAGUCAGAGUUGUAUGAUGGGCAUAAUGGAUUGUAAACACUUCAAUAGAAAACUCAACACUUGCUCAUUAUAGAACCAAGCAUCUUCUGAAGGUAUCAUUUUGUAAAUACACAUUUAAGUAAUAAGGUUUUCUGGUACACGAUUUGAAUUUUUUUGUGCAUUUUUACUUGCACACAGUCAUUAAAUAUUCUAUUCUAUUAAUAUGAACCUUUUUCAUAAAAUAUAUAUAACUAUGCUAGUUUCCACUAGAACUUUUUUUAUGAAGUGUUUUUUGAUCUUCUAUUUCUUAUUAAUAGCUAAUGCUGUUGACGUCUACCAAAUUUUAAUGUUCCAAGUAAACAGCAGAUAAAAGUAAAAUUAUUAUGUUAAGCGACUCCAUUGCCUUUACCUUAAGGCAAGAAAGUGACUGUACAUGUAAACCAGAAUUAUUGAUGUUUCCAAACUUAUGCAGUCUCAUAUGCUGUGAUUUUCUGUGUACAUUUUUUCACUUUCCAUUAUUAAUAAAUUUCACGUUUCAAUGGUGUU
rnacentral:misc_RNA from 1 species